UACAGAGGCCUCGAGCGUUAGGCGGAAUCACUGGGCUUAAAGCGUGUGUAGGCGGAUUGGUAGGUACCUUGUGAAAUCCCACAGCUUAACUGUGGAAUUGCUCGGUAUACUGCUGAUCUUGAGCCACUCAGGGGCUACCGGAACAAAUGGUGGAGCGGUGAAAUGCGUAGAUAUCAUUUGGAACGCCAAUGGUGAAAACAGGUAGCUGGGGGUGUGCUGACGCUGAGACACGAAAGCCAGGGGAGCAAACGGG
rnacentral:rRNA from 1 species